AUAUCAUAGAUUAAGCAUAGUAUAUAUAGUAAAAGGUACUAUGGUAUAUAAUCUAUGAUCAUGGAGAUAUUAUUUAUGUGAGAAUCAUUGUAUACAAGCACAAUUAUUUUUCUAAAUUGGUGGAGAUUUUGGGGCUUGCUCCUGCUCCACCACGGGUUGACCCGGUAUUGUACUACCACCGGGAACGGCCCAAUAAUG
rfam:Acyrthosiphon pisum strain LSR1 Contig32296, whole genome shotgun sequence.